rnacentral:rRNA from 1 species
AUUGAACGCUGGCUGCAGGCCUAACACAUGCAAGUCGAACGAGUGGCGGACGGGUGAGUAAUGUCUGGGAAACUGCCUGAUGUAGGGGGAUAACUACUGGAAACGGUAGCUAAUACCGCAUACCAUCAGAUGUGCCCAGAUGGGAUUCGCUAGUUGGUGGGGGAACGGCUCACCAAGGCGACGAUCCCUAGCUGGGCUGAGAGGAGGACCAGCACCACUGGAACGGAGACACGGUCCAGACUCAUACGGUAGGCAGCAGUGGGGAAUAUGGCACAAUGGGAGCAAGCCUGAUGCAGCCAUGCCGAGUGUAUGAAGAAGGCCUUCGGGUUGUAAAGUAAUUUCAGCGGGGAGGCGUUACCAGCAGAAGAAGCACCGGCUAACUCCGUGCCAGCAGCCGCGGUAAUAC